AGGUUAAGCUACUAAGAGCACACGGAGGAUGCCUAGGCGCUAGGAGCCGAUGAAGGACGUGGCGAACAACGAUACUGCCUCGGGGAGCUGUAAGCAAGCUUCGAUCCGGGGAUGUCCGAAUGGGGAAACCCGGCUGGUGUAAUAGCCAGUUACCCGUAUCUGAAUACAUAGGAUGCGAGGAGGCAUACCCAGGGAACUGAAACAUCUAAGUACCUGGAGGAAGAGAAAACAAGAGUGAUUCCGUCAGUAGCGGCGAGCGAACGCGGAACAGCCUAAACCGAAGAGCUUGCUCUUCGGGGUUGUGGGACGUCUCACAUGGAGUUACAAAGGUUUAGAUUAGACGAACAGGUCUGGAAAGGCCGGCCAUAGAAGGUAAAAGCCCUGUAAUCGAAAAUGUGAACCCUCCGAGACGGAUCCCGAGUAGUGCGGGGCACGUGAAACCCCGUAUGAAUCCAGCAGGACCAUCUGCUAAGGCUAAAUACUCCCUAGCGACCGAUAGUGAAGCAGUACCGUGAGGGAAAGGUGAAAAGCACCCCGGAAGGGGAGUGAAAUAGAACCUGAAACCGUGUGCUUACAAGAAGUCAGAGCCCGAUCGAUGGGUGAUGGCGUGCCUUUUGUAGAAUGAACCGGCGAGUUACGUUCCCAUGCAAGGUUAAGGCGAGAAGCCGUAGCCGCAGCGAAAGCGAGUCUGAAUAGGGCGACUUAGUAUGUGGACGUAGACCCGAAACCGUGUGAUCUACCCCUGUCCAGGGUGAAGGUGCGGUAACACGCACUGGAGGCCCGAACCCACGUACGUUGAAAAGUGCGGGGAUGAGGUGGGGGUAGCGGAGAAAUUCCAAUCGAACUCGGAGAUAGCUGGUUCUCCCCGAAAUAGCUUUAGGGCUAGCCUCGGAAUGAAGAGUCGUGGAGGUAGAGCACUGAUUGGGUGCGGGGCCCGCAAGGGUUACCAAGCUCAGUCAAACUCCGAAUGCCAUAGACUUAUAUCCGGGAGUCAGACAGUGAGUGCUAAGAUCCAUUGUCAAAAGGGAAACAGCCCAGACCAUCAGCUAAGGUCCCCAAGUGUGUGUUAAGUGGGAAAGGAUGUGGAGUUGCACAGACAACCAGGAUGUUGGCUUAGAAGCAGCCACCAUUUAAAGAGUGCGUAAUAGCUCACUGGUCGAGUGACUCUGCGCCGAAAAUGUAACGGGGCUAAACACACCACCGAAGCUAUGGCUUGAUGCUUGCAUCAGGGGUAGGGGAGCGUUGUAUGCAGGUUGAAGGUGUACCGUAAGGAGCGCUGGACAGCAUACAAGUGAGAAUGCCGGUAUGAGUAACGAAAAGAUCAGUGAGAAUCUGAUCCGCCGAAAGCCCAAGGUUUCCUGAGGAAGGCUCGUCCGCUCAGGGUAAGUCGGGACCUAAGGCGAGGCCGAAAGGCGUAGUCGAAGGACAACAGGUUGAAAUUCCUGUACCACCGUAAACCGUUAUGAACGAUGGGGUGACGCAGGAGGGUAGUGACGCGGACUGAUGGAUGUCCGUCCAAGCAGUGAGGCUGAUGUGUAGGCAAAUCCGCACAUCGUAAGGCUGGGCUGUGAUGGGGAGUGAAAAUUACAGUAGCGAAGGUCAUGAUCUCACACUGCCAAGAAAAGCCUCUAGUCAGGUGAAGGUGCCCGUACCGCAAACCGACACAGGUAGGCGAGAAGAGAAUUCUAAGGCGCGCGGAAGAACUCUCGUUAAGGAACUCGGCAAAAUGACCCCGUAACUUCGGGAGAAGGGGUGCCUCGGUAGGGUGAAUAGCCCGAGGGGGCCGCAGUGAAAAGGCCCAAGCGACUGUUUAGCAAAAACACAGGUCUGUGCGAAGCCGCAAGGCGAAGUAUACGGGCUGACGCCUGCCCGGUGCUGGAAGGUUAAGGGGAGCGGUUAGGAGCAAUCCGAAGCUGUGAACCGAAGCCCCAGUAAACGGCGGCCGUAACUAUAACGGUCCUAAGGUAGCGAAAUUCCUUGUCAGGUAAAUUCUGACCCGCACGAAUGGCGUAACGACUUGGGCGCUGUCUCAACGAGAGAUCCGGUGAAAUUUUAAUACCUGUGAAGAUGCAGGUUACCCGCGACAAGACGGAAAGACCCCAUGGAGCUUUACUGCAGCUUGAUAUUGGAUUUGGGUACGAUCUGUACAGGAUAGGUGGGAGCCUAAGAAGCAUGAGCGCCAGCUUGUGUGGAGGCGACGUUGGGAUACCACCCUGAUCGUAUCUAGGUUCUAACCUGGUACCGUGAUCCGGUACGGGGACAGUGUCAGGCGGGCAGUUUGACUGGGGCGGUCGCCUCCUAAAGAGUAACGGAGGCGCCCCAAGGUUCCCUCAGAAUGGUUGGAAAUCAUUCGAAGAGUGCAAAGGCAUAAGGGAGCUUGACUGCGAGACCUACAAGUCGAGCAGGGACGAAAGUCGGGCUUAGUGAUCCGGUGGUACCGCAUGGAAGGGCCAUCGCUCAACGGAUAAAAGCUACCCUGGGGAUAACAGGCUUAUCUCCCCCAAGAGUCCACAUCGACGGGGAGGUUUGGCACCUCGAUGUCGGCUCAUCGCAUCCUGGGGCUGAAGUAGGUCCCAAGGGUUGGGCUGUUCGCCCAUUAAAGCGGUACGCGAGCUGGGUUCAGAACGUCGUGAGACAGUUCGGUCCCUAUCUGUCGUGGGCGUAGGAAAUUUGAGAGGAGCUGUCCUUAGUACGAGAGGACCGGGAUGGACGUACCGCUGGUGCACCAGUUGUUCCGCCAGGAGCAUGGCUGGGUAGCUACGUACGGACGGGAUAAGCGCUGAAAGCAUCUAAGCGUGAAGCCCCCCUCAAGAUGAGAUUUCCCAGUAUGUAAGACCCCUUGAAGACGACGAGGUAGAUAGGUUGGAGGUGGAAGUGCAGUAAUGCAUGGAGCUGACCAAUACUAAUCGGUCGAGGGCUUAUCCUA
rnacentral:rRNA from 1 species